rnacentral:misc_RNA from 1 species
GCUCCUUCCAUAUUCUCAUUGAGGUUUAAUUUAGAGCUUUCAGGCUCCUUCUCAUUGAGGUUUCUUUCCAAUUUUUCUUGAUCUGAUUCAUUGGUUAUCUUAUGUUCUUGUUUUUCAGCAUCAUUAUCUGCAUUCAACUGUUCGUCAGGCUUUGGUGGCUCUGCUAUGGCAGCUUCGUCUUCUGUUUCCUUUUCAUCUUGAUUCUCCUGGUAUUAUACCAAUGCGGAUUAGUGACCAGACAGCUGCAAUAAAGCUUGCUAUAUG